rnacentral:rRNA from 1 species
GGAAUCUUCGGCAAUGGGGGCAACCCUGACCGAGCAACGCCGCGUGAGUGAAGAAGGUUUUCGGAUCGUAAAGCUCUGUUGUAAGAGAAGAACGUGUGUGAGAGUGGAAAGUUCACACAGUGACGGUAACUUACCAGAAAGGGACGGCUAACUACGUGCCGG